AAGAGGCCCGAGGCAAUAGAGACUGCUAAUCCCUGCUCCCACGGUUAAACUCCGUGGCUCAUUC
rnacentral:tRNA from 1 species